ACGGAAGGCAGCAGUGGGGAAUAUUGCACAAUGGGGGAAACCCUGAUGCAGCGAUGCCGCGUGAAGGAUGAAGGGUUUCGGCUCGUAAACUUUUAUCGAUAGUGAAGAAACAAAUGACGGUAACUAAGUAAGAAGCUCCGGCUAACUAUGUGCCAGCAGCCGCGGUAAUACAUAGGGAGCAAGCGUUAUCCGGAUUUACUGGGUGUAAAGGGAGCGUAGACGGCAAAGCAAGUCUGAAGUGAAAUCCCGGGGCUCAACCCCGGAACUGCUUUGGAAACUGUUUAGCUAGAGUGCAGGAGAGGUAAGCGGAAUUCCUAGUGUAGCGGUGAAAUGCGUAGAUAUUAGGAGGAACACCAGUGGCGAAGGCGGCUUACUGGACUGUAACUGACGUUGAGGCUCGAAAGCGUGGGGAGCAAACAGGAUUAGAUACCCUGGUA
rnacentral:rRNA from 1 species